GAUGAAGAACGUAGCGAAAUGCGAUAAGUAAUGUGAAUUGCAGAAUUCAGUGAAUCAUCGAAUCUUUGAACGCACAUUGCGCCCGCCAGUAUUCUGGCGGGCAUGCCUGUUCGAGCGUCAUUUCAACCAUCAAGCCCCAGGCUUGUGUUGGGGACCUGCGGCUGCCGCAGGCCCUGAAAACCAGUGGCGGGCUCGCUAGUCACACCGAGCGUAGUAGCAUACACAUCGCUCAGGGCGUGCUGCGGGUUCCGGCCGUUAAACCCCUUUUUUACCCAAGGUUGACCUCGGAUCAGGUAGGAAGACCCGCUGAACUUAAGCAUAUCAAUAAGCGGAAGGA
rnacentral:misc_RNA from 1 species